rnacentral:misc_RNA from 1 species
UUUAAUCACUUAUAUAAGCCCAUAAUAAAAAGCAUUAAUGUGUAAUUUGCCUAGCACUUUCUAAAUUUGACAUAGUAUUAGAACAUGCCACAAUUUGAGACUUAAAAAAGCAAGGUGGGCAGUGCCGUAGCGAGACAGACCCAGUGGAUCUAUGGGCUAGUAAAAUGAACUAGACCCAUAGAGUCAAGCAAAAUAAAUAAAUAAAUAAA